UACGUAGGGCGCAAGCGUUGUCCGGAAUUAUUGGGCGUAAAGAGCUCGUAGGCGGCUUGUCACGUCGGGUGUGAAAGCCCGGGGCUUAACCCCGGGGUCUGCAUUCGAUACGGGCUAGCUAGAGUGUGGUAGGGGAGAUCGGAAUUCCUGGUGUAGCGGUGAAAUGCGCAGAUAUCAGGAGGAACACCGGUGGCGAAGGCGGAUCUCUGGGCCAUUACUGACGCUGAGGAGCGAAAGCGUGGGGAGCGAACAGG
rnacentral:rRNA from 1 species